GUCUUCUUCUUCUACACACUAGAGGGAUCUGCAAAUACCCAAACCCGAGUGCAAUAUAACUUUCAUCUAAUCCCUUUGCCCAGCGCAUUUCCGUAAACUACACCAGCCUAAAGCGAGAACCCUCAAGAUGGCGUCAUGCCUGGUGAUUUCACUCCUUUUUUGCUGCAAGGUCACAGGAGUGCCGGCGCCAAUCCCAGCUAACUUCGCGCAAAAAAACGGGGACCAACGGAAUGAUCCUGUUCGUGGAAUUCACCUCUGCAUUCAACAUGAUUAUUAAGAACUCCUCUCCUCCAAGCUUCUCCAGUUUAGCAUCUUGCCUGCCAUCUGCCAGUAGAUUUAAAACUUCCUAAUCACAGGGACAUAGCAGAAAUGACUGCACCUCAAGGCACCUGGCUGUCAAACACCUGAAGUUUGCAGAUGACACCACAGUCAUCAGCCUCAUCAAAGACGGUGACAAGUCUGCGUAUCGACAGGAAGUAGCGAGGCUGGGCCUGUGGUGUUGCUGACACAACCUGGAGAUAAAUGCACUCAAGAGAUGAUUAUGGGCAUUCGGAGGCAUUCUUCACCACAGCUGCCUCACCCACUGUCCAACUGUCUCGUGUCAACCUUUAAGUCCCUGGGAAUUACAGUCUCUCAGGACCUGAAGUGGCAGAAGGACAUCAAUUCCAUCCUCAGGAAAGCCCAACAGAGGAUGAAUUUCCUGCAGCGUCUUAGGAAGCAUGGCCUGCCACAAGAGCUGUUGAGGCAGUUCUACACCGGUUAUCAAAUCAGUACUGUGUACCUCCAUCACAGUCUGGUUUGGUGCUGUCACAAAAAAGGACAAACUCCAACUGCAAAGGACAUUCAAAACCACUGAAAGGAUUGUUGGUACCGUCUUACCCACCUUCGAGGUUCUAUACGCUACCCAAACUAAGAAAAGCAGGCAAAAUCCUCUCAGACCCUUCGCAUCCUGGUCAUCAGCUCUUUCAGCUCCUUCCCUCAGGUAGGCACAACUGAACAAUCCAAACUAAAACAAGACAUUCCAACAGUUUUUUCCCACUUGCAACUUGCUUCUUAAACAGCUCUCUUGCAAUUGAACUGCAACUCGCUGCCAAUU